UACAGAGGGUGCAAGCGUUGUUCGGAAUUAUUGGGCGUAAAGGGCGCGUAGGCGGCAUGCCAAGCGUGUGGUGAAAGCCCGGGGCUCAACCCCGGGUCGGCCGUGCGGACUGGCGGGCUCGAGGCCGGUAGGGGGAAGCGGAAUUCCCGGUGUAGUGGUGGAAUGCGUAGAUAUCGGGAGGAACACCAGUGGCGAAGGCGGCUUCCUGGACCGGUUCUGACACUGAGGAGCGAAAGCGUGGGGAGCGAACAGG
rnacentral:rRNA from 1 species